AUGCUAAACAGAACAACUGUAUGUGAUCAUCAAGACCUAUUUGUACCAUCAAGAACCCGGGCUGUGCUGACCGCUGCAAACUUCUCAAAUGUGGAAUCUGGAUUAUUUCUGGUAGUGGGGGACUGCGAUCAUGCUCUUCCCUG
rnacentral:snRNA from 1 species